GACAGAGGAGGCAAGCGUUGUUCGGAAUUACUGGGCUUAAAGCGCGUGUAGGUGGCCAUGUAGGUCCGCUGUGAAAACUUGAGGCUCAACCUCAAGCUGUCGGUGGAAACCACAUGGCUAGAGUCCGGAAGAGGAGAGUGGAAUUCCUGGUGUAGCGGUGAAAUGCGCAGAUAUCAGGAAGAACACCAAUGGCGAAGGCAGCUCUCUGGGACGGUACUGACACUGAGACGCGAAAGCGUGGGGAGCGAACAGG
rnacentral:rRNA from 1 species